UACGAAGGGGGCUAGCGUUGCUCGGAUUGACUGGGCGUAAAGGGCGCGUAGGCGGUUCGUACAGUCAGACGUGAAAUUCCUGGGCUCAACCUGGGGGCUGCGUUUGAUACGUGCGGACUUGAGUGCGGAAGAGGGUCGUGGAAUUCCCAGUGUAGAGGUGAAAUUCGUAGAUAUUGAGAAGAACACCGGUGGCGAAGGCGGCGACCUGGUCCGAUACUGACGCUGAGGCGCGAAAGCGUGGGGAGCAAACAGG
rnacentral:rRNA from 1 species